rnacentral:lncRNA from 1 species
CUUAAGGAGUUCUCCUUUUAGGAUAUGUGUGGCUACCUGUGUGUGUUAUCUUUGGGAAAAAUAUGGUCCCCUGUGUAUGUGAGUGCCUACCAGGUUAAAUUCUUGGCAAAAAGAUCAUAAACUGGUACUGGUAAUGUGUUAAAUUGACAAGCUAAUUUAACAUCCUUUGAUGAUGUAUGAUAUAAUGUAAAAUAGCAUGAGCAUGAAAAAAUGUGAAGCAUUACCAGUUAACCAUUCAUUGCAUUUAGUGGAUUGGGGUUUUAGAAGUAACCAUUCAUUAUCUGUGAGGUUACACAUUCCUCUAAUCUUCUCUAGUUUAGGAAUCAUUAGUGUGUUUUCUAAUGCCAAUCCUUGUUGUUGUAUCCAUAAAUACCUGAUGGCACAGGUACUCCAGUUACUUAGACCUGUAGUGAAUUUCAUAGUUGCAACAGUUAAAUUAUCUAAAUAAUUAUACAUUGAUUUAUCUAAAUCCAAUCCUGUAACCUGUGAUUUAACAACAAUUGGAGCCCAGUUUGCAGUAGCAUGGAAACCAGUCCCUAUAUGCAUACUGGCCGUGUUUAACUUAUUCUUGAGGGUCUCCAUAUCUAUAACUAUUUAGUAUACCCAUAGUGGUUCCAGCACCUCCUAACAGUGUGUCAUACCAUUC